rnacentral:rRNA from 1 species
UUGGAGGGCAAGUCUGGUGCCAGCAGCCGCGGUAAUUCCAGCUCCAAUAGCGUAUAUUAAAGUUGUUGCAGUUAAAAAGCUCGUAGUUGAAUUUCGGGGUUAGUAAGUUGGUCAUGCCUCCGGUAUGCACUGGCUUUACUGAUUCCUCCUUCUUGAUGAACUGUAAUGUCAUUAAUUUGGUGUUGCAGGGAAUCAGGACUGUUACUUUGAAAAAAUUAGAGUGUUUAAAGCAGGCAUACGCUUGAAUACAUUAGCAUGGAAUAAUGAAAUAGGACGUUUGAUCCUAUUUUGUUGAUUUCUAGGAUUGACGUAAUGAUUGAUAGGGAUGGUUGGGGGCAUUAGUAUUCAAUUGUCAGAGGUGAAAUUCUUGGAUUUAUUGAAGACUAACUACUGCGAAAGCAUUUGCCAAGGAUGUUUUCAUUAAUCAAGAACGAAAGUUAGGGGAUCAAAGACGAUCAGAUACCGUCGUAGUCUUAACCAUAAACUAUGCCGACUAGGGAUCGGAUGAUGUUAUUUUUAAUGACUCAUUCGGCGCCUUACGGGAAAC